AUCAAGACAUAUACGUCAUAGCCAAUUAACAAACAAUAAAACAUUGAAUAAAAACGUGGAGAAGGGAGAUUGGAAUUUCCAAAAUUCUUAUGAGGCUUUAAUUAAGUCCACUGGGUGCUCGGAAUUAUCAAAUCAUUUCUACAUUUCCAUUCUAAGGGGAAAAAAUAAUUCACCUUCAAUGUUCAAAAGCACUAGGAUAAACCUUACUCUUCAUUAAUAAUACCAUUUAUAACUAGCCCUUGAUUGGGAAGAAAAUCAGACCAAUGUUCUAAAUCUCGUUUUAUUUCAAAUAUAUAAUUUGUGAUUUUUUUC
rnacentral:lncRNA from 1 species